AUUUAAGUAGUUUAACAAAAACAAUACAUUUUCAUUGUAUAAAUAAUAUAUGAAAUUAUUCUUAAAUA
rnacentral:tRNA from 1 species